AUUGAACGCUGGCGGCAGGCUUAACACAUGCAAGUCGAGCGGGGGAAGGUAGCUUGCUACCGGACCUAGCGGCGGACGGGUGAGUAAUGCUUAGGAAUCUGCCUAUUAGUGGGGGACAACAUCUCGAAAGGGCUGCUAAUACCGCAUACGUCCUACGGGAGAAAGCAGGGGAUCUUCGGACCUAGCGCUAAUCGAUGAGCCUAAGCCGGAUUAGCUAGUUGGUGGGGUAAAGGCCGACAAAGGCGACGAGCAGUAGCGGGUCGGAGAGGAGGAUCCGCAAGAAUGAGACUGAGACACGGCCCAGACGCCCACGGGAGGCAGCAGAGGGGAAUAUUGGACAAUGGGGGGAACCCUGAUCCAGCCAUGCCGCGUGUGUGAAGAAGGCCUUAUGGUUGUAAAGCACUUUAAGCGAGGAGGAGGCUACUCUAUUUAAUACCUAGGGAUAGUGGACGUUACUCGCAGAAUAAGCACCGGCUAACUCUGUGCCAGCCGCCGCCGUAA
rnacentral:rRNA from 1 species